UACGUAGGGGGCGAGCGUUGUCCGGAAUCAUUGGGCGUAAAGCGCGUGUAGGCGGCUCGUUAAGUCCGGUGUGAAACCUUGGGGCUCAACCCCAAGCCUGCACUGGAUACUGACGAGCUCGAGUCCGGGAGGGGAGAGCGGAAUUCCUAGUGUAGCGGUGAAAUUCGUAGAUAUUAGGAAGAACACCGGUGGCGAAGGCGGCCCACUGGUCCGGUACUGACGCUGAGGUGCGAAAGCGUGGGGAGCAAACAGG
rnacentral:rRNA from 1 species